UGAACGCUGGCGGCGUAGCUUAACACAGUGCAAGUCGAACGGAGUUUUAACGGAAGUUUCGGAUGGAAGUUAAGAACUUAGUGGCGGACGGGUGAGUAACGCGUGGGUAACCUGCCUCAUACAGGGGGAUAACAGUUAGAAAUGACUGCUAACACCGCAUAAUAUAGUGAAACCGCAUGAUUUUGCUAUCAAAUAGUUUAUAGGUAUGAGAUGGGCCCGCGUCUGAUUAGCUAGUUGGUGGGGUAAAGCCUACCAAGGCGACGAUCAGUAGCCGGCUUGAGAGAGUGACCGGCCACAUUGGGACUGAGACACGGCCCAAACUCCUACGGGAGGCAGCAGUGGGGAAUAGUUGGACAAUGGGGGAAACCCUGAUCCAGCGAACCGCCGCGUGAGUGAAGAAGUAUUUCGGUAUGUAAAGCUCUAUCAGCAGGGAAGAUAAUGACAGUACCUGACUAAGAAGCCCCGGCUAACUACGUGCCAGCCGCUGC
rnacentral:rRNA from 1 species